rnacentral:tRNA from 1 species
AGUUUAUGAACUUGAUAAUAAGUAUAUAUUUUGAAAAUAUAAAAAAGGUUUGCCUAUAAACUU